CCCUAAAUCACUUGACAAGGACACUGAAAUACGAGAAUCACUUCUUUUUUUUUUUUAUUUCAAAGUUGUAAUGUGGGACAUUCGGCGCUGCGUUAUCUCUUUCGCUAGUUAAUUGAGAUGUCAAAAUGAUUUAGUGGAGAAACACAGACACACAGAAGAACUCGCCCUUACUGCACUCCCAUCUCAUCUAGCGUACAGUAAACCCCCCCCCCCAAAAAAAAUCCAUUGUUUUUAAAAAAUAGCUUUAGUGAUACAUAGCUACCUUGACUCUAGCUGCCACUGACAUUCUGCCGUUAACUAUAAUAAAUUAAUCACGUUGCAAAAGAUAGCUUUGUUUGUACUCUAUGUACAAGUCAUUUAUUUCCCCCGGAACAUUUCAAGCAGUUACUCUCAAAGUUUGGUACGCAAACUCCUUUUAGUUAUAAAUGAAAGAAUCACGGCCCAAAUACAGUUCAGUUUUUUAACUUUCAGUUCAAUACAUUUGCCUUUAAUAUUUAACAACCAUUUAUUUUUAAAGAUAUAUUUAGAAGGAUAAUAAUCAAGUUAUGUGCAAUAGAUUUUGACAGAGUUAUAAUUGAAGUACAAGUGCGGCAUUAAUGUUCAAAUAUUACUUUGGCUUAAAAAAAAUAUUGGUUAUAGGACACUCUAACCCACAGGUGUCAAACCCAAGGCCCGGGGGCCAGAUUUGGCCCGCCACCUUAUUUUAUCUGGCCCACGAAGGCAAAUCAUGCUUGUUAACUUCCAUUAUUCUUGUUAAAUCUGUACUAGAAUUUAAAAUUUUCAUACCAUGAAUGAUAAAGUUGAGGUAUUGCGGCCCCAUCACGGCGCUCUGAGGGAAACCAUCACUACAAUGUGGCCCGUGACAAAAAUGAGUUUGACACCGCUGCUCUAAGCUCUGUCUAGUAUUUGAUGAACACUUGGGAUACUAUGGGAGUCCAUUUUAAUGUUGGUCAUGGUGGUGGACCCAAAAAAAAAUCCGCCAUCCGCCAUCUUGAUACUCCCAAAACAACCAUCCCGACCUGAGCAGGGACAGCGAUUAACUGAGUUAAUUGCCAGUUUGGUGGCUGUGAGAAAACAUUCCACAGGUAAGUUAGAAAGAUUUACUUUGACACUGUUCAAGUUUGUUAGUAAAGGUUUUUAUAUUUUCUGAUGAGCUUAAUUCACUCGGACAAAUCUUUGUUUACGGUUGUUGACUCUCUGCUUCACCUUUAUAGGCUGACGGGUUUUCCCGAAAAAGCGAUGUAAAUAUUUUCCCAAACUUCAUCAAUGGAUAAGUACAAAAACACAUUUUCUGUGAAAUUUUUUUGGAUGAAUUGCAUAAUACAGAACUCUGCAAAUUGAAUUUGAUUUUCAAAUCCGAGGAAACAAGUUAAAAUUUUCUGUCUGAAAUAUGACGUCACAGAGACAACAAAUGAAUAUUGCGUUUAGCGUGUAUUUGCCCAUUGCGAGUCCUUAUUUCCAAAAAUAUAUCAAACUGAUUUGACUUGAAAUGUAAUUUUUUUUAUGACAAAAAAUGCUUAGGUUUUUUUUGCUGUGUUAUGAUGAUAGUGCUUCACAGCGUAUUUUGGGAAAAGUUAACAUGUCACGGAAAUCAGGUCCGAUGUAAUUUAUGGAAGGUUUCUUGGUAGUCACGGUGUUAUGUCUUUCCUUUACACUUAGCCUUUUUUGUUUGAAAUAAAAAUCCUUCAUGUUACCAGAACUGAAAAAAAAAAUAUCCAGCUCACACGACCAGUUUUAAUUCUACAUGCCAAACUUUGAGGAAAAACCCCCACCAUAAUCCAACCUGUGUAAACCAUGUCCUCCAGACGUUUUGGGAGUACCAAGAUGGCGGCCAACUGGUUUCAACCAAUCUCCAUAUUGCUAGAUGUGGAUGCGCGAUCCAGUUUUUUUUUUGUUUGUUUUUUUUAGGUCAGUCGUUGGAGAGUUGUGCGUUUUUUUUAGACGCGCGAAUUAGUGUAAAAAAAAAAAUUAGGACCAAAGAAGAGCUUGUACCCCCUCUUGUGGUUGUGCAUGUAUGCACGCUGCCUAUAAAUUAUCCCAGCUGGGAUCUUCAAGUGCUACGUUAGCAGUUUUUGGAAAUUAAAUAGAUGGACGCCUUCAUAUAGACAGGUGGUCACAGUGAUGAACUGGUCGUUGCACCUCCUUUGUCAUGAUUGAACCUCACCGGGGGGGAAAAAAAAAUCAGCAUUUGACGCAUUGAACGUAGUGAACCACGAUUUGGGGUAUAAGGUUACAACAGACAACAGCAAAUCCACAGCUUGGACUUUAACGUGGCGACAGCGAGCCAGGAAAAAAAAAUGUGGAAAGGCCUCCGGGACAGGCAGCGGCGAAGAGGCGAAUCUUUGAGGGAAAACCUGAGCGGGUGGUGAUUUUUGUGCGGUGAACCGCAAGCGCGAGCUAGCAUCCGAAGAUCCGUCCCGGAUCGUGAUUGUCCACGGCUAAUCACCGGAGGUCCAACGUGCCUGUACUUCGUCCUCAGUCAUUUGCAUUCAGCUUUGCGCUGACCUGUUGGCUUGGGCUUCAGGAGCUGUGCUGAAACUAUUUUGGAUGAUCAACAUCUGGAAAUUUAAAAACAGUUGUCCAUCCCUCAUACGAAAACGACUAGCAAACAUAAGCAAAGGGACCUCAGUGCAAAUAUGUCAACGUAACAGCCGGAUGGCCCGUAUCCCGGAAUCCGGGAAUCGGGGCGCACGUCCUCGCGGCGCCUGUUGGGUUGGGGAUUAUCUGUCAACUGGUUUGGGAGCUCCGCCGGCGGAACCGUCCGACUUUCACGGGGGAGGGUGUUUUUUUUUUCCCCUCGCUUCGCUCCACAGCUACUCCUGCUGGAAAGAGAAAUGAGUAACAUUGCUGGCGCUGCCAUCCAGGACCGAGCACUCAACUUUCCCGUCCCCAUCUGCUUUUGCUCCAAAACGCAGGAGUGCAUUUUAAGAGCCAUUUUCUUGACUAAAACAGAAGCCUUCGGAUGAUGGGAUGCAAAGGUGACCAACUAUUAAGUGCACCAUUCCUCGCCGCAUGACAUUGAUCCAGUCAUCCGGCGUGAAGGCCGUCCUGACGCCGGACAGUCCAAGGUCAUCCGGGGGCCCGAUUUUCGAUUCAACAGCAGGAGCCUCUUUUCACGCGCGCUGACCCACAUAAGGCACAUUCCAUUUUUCGUUAAACGGACAGCGCCGCACAGAAGAAGCUUCUGGUGAUUGGAAUGCGAAGUGACGACUGCUAAAUUCAUUAGUCCCUCCAACAUUUCAUGUAAAGACUCGCCACACGAGACGCUUCAGUUAACUGCCAACAUCCUGUACUCUAUACGGAGGAGGCACAGUACACACGAGUUCCUCAUUACCGUCCUUAAAGUCAGACUAUUAAUAGACACCUCAGUGGAACAAGGGUCGUGACAUUGUAGUAAUAAGACAAAAAUGUAAAAAAAAAUAACAUUUUAAAUGCAAUAACACAUUAAGGCUUUUAACCAACGUGCUGUAACGUGCGUCAUUUGCAGUAGUUUACCUUGAAAGUCUACCAGUCAUGGCCGCAUUAAUGGACCGGUCGGGCCUCUUGGGGGUCAGCUAAACCAUUAGCCCGGACCCAGGAAUCCUCGCCGUGCUCUGCCCGUCGCUCCAGACCGGAUCUGAUUUCACACUCAGAAGCUUCCGCAUAGUCCCCCCCCCCCAAAAAAAAGGAAAAGUCAACAAGUUGAUUUUGUCUGAAUGCCUCCAUUAUUUGGGUAGUUAAUAAAUAAAUACAUUAAUUAAUUAAUUAGCUGAUUAAUCAAUUAAUUAGGCAAAUAAAUAAAAAUUGGGACUGUAUAAUAAAUUUUCAGUGUCCUAAAUGUGUCCCA